AUUGAACGCUGGCGGCAUGCCUUACACAUGCAAGUCGAACGGCAGCACGGGGGCAACCCUGGUGGCGAGUGGCGAACGGGUGAGUAAUACAUCGGAACGUGCCCGAUAGUGGGGGAGUAGCUCGGCGAAAGCCGGAUUAAUACCGCAUACGACCUACGGGUGAAAGCGGGGAGUCGCAAGACCUCGCGCUAUCAGAGCGGCCGAUGUCAGAUUAGGUUGUUGGUGGGGUAAAGGCCUACCAAGCCGACGAUCUGUAGCUGGUCUGAGAGGACGA
rnacentral:rRNA from 1 species